rnacentral:rRNA from 1 species
CCUACGGGAGGCAGCAGUGAGGAAUAUUGGUCAAUGGACGAGCGUCUGAACCAGCCAAGUAGCGUGCAGGAUGACUGCCCUAUGGGUUGUAAACUUCUUUUAUAUGGGAAUAAAAUGUUCCACGUGUGGGGUUUUGUAUGUACCAUAUGAAUAAGGAUCGGCUAACUCCGUGCCAGCAGCCGCGGUAAUACGGAGGAUCCGAGCGUUAUCCGGAUUUAUUGGGUUUAAAGGGAGCGUAGGUGGAUUGUUAAGUCAGUGGGGAACUGUUGCGGCUCAACCGGAACAUUGCAGUGGAAACUGGCAGGCUUGAGUACAGUAGAGGUAGGCGGAAUUCGGGGUGUAGCGGUGAAAUGCUUAGAUAUGACGAAGAACUCCGAUUGCGAAGGCAGCUCACUGGACUACAACUGACGCUGAGGCUCGAAAGUGUGGGUAUCAAACAGGAUUAGAUACCCGGGUAGUC